AACGAACGCUGGCGGCAUGCCUAACACAUGCAAGUCGAACGAGACCUUCGGGUCUAGUGGCGCACGGGUGCGUAACGCGUGAGAACCUGCCCUUAGGUUCGGAAUAACUCCCCGAAAGGGGUGCUAAUACCGGAUAAUGUCUUCGGACCAAAGAUUUAUCGCCUUUGGAUGGGCCCGCGUUGGAUUAGCUAGUUGGUAGGGUAAAAGCCUACCAAGGCGACGAUCCAUUGCUGGUCUGAGAGGAUGAUCAGCCACACUGGGACUGAGACACGGCCCAGACUCCUACGGGAGGCAGCAGUGGGGAAUAUUGGACAAUGGGCGAAAGCCUGAUCCAGCAAUGCCGCGUGAGUGAUGAAGGCCUUAGGGUUGUAAAGCUCUUUUACCCGGGAUGAUAAUGACAGUACCGGGAGAAUAAGCUCCGGCUAACUCCGUG
rnacentral:rRNA from 1 species